rnacentral:misc_RNA from 1 species
AACGCACAUUGCGCCUGCUGGUAUUCCGGUAGGCAUGCCUGUUUGAGCGUCAGCAAAACCCCCUCAGCAAUCUAUUUUUUUUUUUUUUUUUUUUUUGCUGGUUAUGGGUACAGAGUGUAGCUUUAUACCAAGCCCCUCUUGCCUUAAAACUUGCUGCAUGACCGCAAGCUUAUACUGGGUUAAUGGAGUGGUGUUUACAAUAUUCCAGCUGCCUUGGUAUAGCGAGCGGCAUUAAACCUGAUGUUGCCUUCAGCUGCAACUGAAGUUUGACCUCAAAUCAGACAAGGAUACCCGCUGAACUUAA